GGAUUCCCUUAGUAACUGCGAGUGAAGAGGGAAAAGCUCAAAUUUAAAAUCUGGCAGUGUUUCACUGUCCGAGUUGUAACCUAGAGAAGUGUAACCUGUGCUGGACCGUGUACAAGUCUCCUGGAAUGGAGCAUCACAGAGGGUGAGAAUCCCGUCUUUGACAUGGACUACCAGUGCAUUGUGGUUGCGCUCUCAACGAGUCGAGUUGUUUGGGAAUGCAGCUCUAAAUGGGUGGUAAAUUCCAUCUAAAGCUAAAUAUUGGCGAGAGACCGAUAGCGAACAAGUACCGUGAGGGAAAGAUGAAAAGAACUUUGGAAAGAGAGUUAAACAGUAUGUGAAAUUGUUGAAAGGGAAACGUUUGAAGUCAGUCGCGUUGGUUGGGGAUCAGCCUGACAUUGUUGGGUGUAUUUCCUGGUUGACGGGCCAACAUCAGUUUUGACUGCCAGAAAAAGGCCAAAGGAAUGUGGCACCUUUGGGUGUGUUAUAGCCCUUGGUCGUAUAUGGUGGUUGGGACUGAGGAAAGCAGCGUGCCGAAAGGCCGGGUUUCGACCACGUUCACGCUGAGGAUGUUGGCAUAAUGGCUUUAAGCGACCCGUCUUGAAACACGGACCAAGGAGUCUAACAUGCAUGCGAGUGUUUGGGUGGAAAACCCUUACGCGUAAUGAAAGUGAAAGUUGAGAUCCCUGUCGCGGGGAGCAUCGACGCCCGGACCAGAACUUUUGGGACGGAUCUGCGGUAGAGCACGUAUGUUGGGACCCGAAAGAUGGUGAACUAUGCCUGAAUAGGGUGAAGCCAGAGGAAACUCUGGUGGAGGCUCGUAGCGAUUCUGACGUGCAAAUCGAUCGUCAAAUUUGGGUAUAGGGGCGAAAGACUAAUCGA
rnacentral:rRNA from 1 species